GAGUCCUGAGCUCGCCUCUGUUUCUUGCCACUUCACCAGAGCUGAGACUACUCUGUGGGCUACUUGAAGUCAUGAAGCCUUUUUUGGUAACUUUGGCUGUGCUGCUGCUCUUCUUCCAAGUCACUGCAGUAGGCAGCAUUGAAAAAUGUUGGAAUUUUCGUGGCUCCUGCCGUGACGAAUGCCUGAAGAACGAAAAGGUCUAUGUUUUCUGCAUGAGUGGUAAAUUGUGCUGUUUGAAGCCCAAGGACCAACCACAUUUACCACAGCGUACAAAGAAUUAGUGCUUUAAAGUCUGAGGCCACAAAAAUGAAGAUAAACUUGCCCUGACUCUGAUGUCAGUAGAUUCCUGAGCUUUAUUAAAACAUCUUUGGC